UACGUAGGGUGCGAGCGUUGUCCGGAAUUAUUGGGCGUAAAGGGCUCGUAGGCGGUUUGUCACGUCGGGCGUGAAAACUCAGGGCUCAACCCUGAGCCUGCUUCCGAUACGGGCAGACUAGAGGUAUGCAGGGGAGAACGGAAUUCCUGGUGUAGCGGUGAAAUGCGCAGAUAUCAGGAGGAACACCGGUGGCGAAGGCGGUUCUCUGGGCAUUACCUGACGCUGAGGAGCGAAAGUGUGGGGAGCGAACAGG
rnacentral:rRNA from 1 species